GACGAACGCUGGCGGCGUGCUUAACACAUGCCAGUCGAGCGGAAAGGCCCUGCUUUUGUGGGGUGCUCGAGUGGCGAACGGGUGAGUAACACGUGAGUAACCUGCCCUUGACUUUGGGAUAACUUCAGGAAACUGGGGCUAAUACCGGAUAGGAGCUCCUGCUGCAUGGUGGGGGUUGGAAAGUUUCGGCGGUUGGGGAUGGACUCGCGGCUUAUCAGCUUGUUGGUGGGGUAGUGGCUUACCAAGGCUUUGACGGGUAGCCGGCCUGAGAGGGUGACCGGCAACAUGGGGACGGAGAUACGGCCCAGACUCCUACGGGAGGCAGCAGUGGGGAAUAUUGCACAAUGGGCGAAAGCCUGAGGCAGAAACGCGGCGUGCGGGAUGACGGCCUUCGGGUGGUAAACCGCUUUCGCCUGUGACGAAGCGUGAGGGACGGUAAUGGGUAAAGAAGCACCGGCGAAUUACGU
rnacentral:rRNA from 1 species